UGGGGAAUAUUGCACAAUGGGCGCAAGCCUGAUGCAGCCAUGCCGCGUGUAUGAAGAAGGCCUUCGGGUUGUAAAGUACUUUCAGUCGGGAGGAAGGUGGUAAGGUUAAUACCUUUGCUCAUUGACGUUACCCGCAGAAGAAGCACCGGCUAACUCCGUGCCAGCAGCCGCGGUAAUACGGAGGGUGCAAGCGUUAAUCGGAAUUACUGGGCGUAAAGCGCACGCAGGCGGUUUGUUAAGUCAGAUGUGAAAUCCCCGGGCUCAACCUGGGAACUGCAUCUGAUACUGGCAAGCUUGAGUCUCGUAGAGGGGGGUAGAAUUCCAGGUGUAGCGGUGAAAUGCGUAGAGAUCUGGAGGAAUACCGGUGGCGAAGGCGGCCCCCUGGACGAAGACUGACGCUCAGGUGCGAAAGCGUGGGGAGCAAACAGG
rnacentral:rRNA from 1 species